ensembl:lncRNA
CAAGGCCUUGCCUGUGUCUGCUGGGCAGGAUCCAGGGAAGCUUCUCACAUGCCAGGAUACCCCUCCUCUGCACAAGGAAGGGUCCGAGGGGACGGCAGGACGCAUCACCAGCCCAUCCUGCACCAGCCACCAGAGCCCAUCCAAGCCCUGUUGGCACACUGAGCGGGCUGGAGGGCUUCCACAAGCGCAGAGCAUCUUCACACCAGCAAAUUCAACCCUUACAUCCCACAAGCAGGGAUUUACACGUCCUGCGUGCUCCCAGAUCUGCAGUCACAGCUCCCAGACCUGCUCUAGGAAUAAUGAGAUGGCCGGAGUGGGGAAACAACGACAUUCCUUCCCAUGUCAGUGUGUGAUUGCAAAGCCCUCAGCCCAGGAGGGCCCUGGUGCCAUCAGGGCUGCUGGAGCCUGCAGACAGCCCUGGGCAGCCCUUUCUCCUUGGGCUGCAGAGGAGCCCCUGCAAGGCAGAGACACACAGCCACAUCCCAGGUGUGCACACCAGCUCCAGACAGAGCACAGAUACAUGCAUGUGACAGCUUGUCUCUUGCAUUGUGUUGCACCACCACUUAUCCCCAGAUCUCAUCUUGAAGCUUCCAAAUUGAUUUUGAAUUGAUGUCCGCAUCAUCGUCCUUCCAUGUGCAGUCACCGUAAGGAAUAUAAUGGGUGAUUCACAC